rnacentral:rRNA from 1 species
CUACGGGGUGCACCAGUGAGGAAUAUUGCACAAUGGGGGGAACCCUGAUGCAGCAACGCCGCGUGGAGGAUGACGCAUUUCGGUGUGUAAACUCCUUUUAUAUGUCAAGAAAAUGACGGUAGCAUAUGAAUAAGCACCGGCUAACUCCGUGCCAGCAGCCGCGGUAAUACGGAGGGUGCAAGCGUUACUCGGAAUCACUGGGCGUAAAUGACGCGUAGGCGGGUUGGAAAGUCAGGUGUGAAAUCCUACAGCUUAACUGUAGAACUGCACUUGAAACUUCUAAUCUAGAGUAUGGGAGGGGGAGAUGGAAUUAGUGGUGUAGGGGUAAAAUCCGUAGAUAUCACUAGGAAUACCUAAAGCGAAGGCGAUCUCCUGGAACAUUACUGACGCUAAGGCGCGAAAGCGUGGGGAGCAAACAGGAUUAGAUACCCCCGUAGUC